GGGGGGUGCCGCUGCGCGCUUGUGAGGAGGCGCGGCGCCCUGCGCUGCCUCUGCCUAGACGAACUUGAAAACCGCUAGGGGCGCAAGCUCCUCGUGGGUUCGAAUCCCACGCCCUCCG
rnacentral:tRNA from 1 species